AGGGUUCGAUUCUGGCUCAGGAUUAACGCUGGCGGCGUGCCUAAUACAUGCAAGUCGAAUGGUAGUAGCAAUACAAACCAUGGCGAACGGGUGAGUAACACGUAGGUAACCUGUCUUUAAGACGAGGAUAACCAUUGGAAACGAUGGAUAAUACUGGAUAGGACAUCAUAAAGGGCAUCCUUAGAUGUUUAAAGAUUAUAAUGUCACUUAGAGAGGGGCCUGCGGCGCAUUAGCUAGUUGGUGAGGUAAGAGCCCACCAAGGCGAUGAUGCGUAGCCGGACUGAGAGGUUGAACGGCCACAAUGGAACUGAGAACGGUCCAUACUCCUACGGGAGGCAGCAGUAGGGAAUUUUCGGCAAUGGGCGCAAGCCUGAACCCGAGCAACGCCGCGUGAACGAAGAAGUUAUUCGUAAUGUAAAGUUCUUUUAUCUGGGAAGAAAAACAAAUUGACGGUACCAGAUGAAUAAGCUCCGGCUAACUACGUGCCAGCCGCUGC
rnacentral:rRNA from 1 species